CCCAUACCCGAAUUAAUACUUUACCAAAUUAUCCCUACUUUAAUGGAGCAACCGUUCCCAAACCAUUAAUAUCCGACAUUUUCUUUUCUCUUCUUGUCUCUCUCCACCUCUCUCGAGACGAACUGUCAAAAAAACCAAAACCAGAUCAUUAAAAACUGAAGAAAAUCGAUCAAAAUCAUCAAAUAUGAAACCUAAAACGAACUUAUUCUCUACUAUUACAGCUUCAUUUUACCACCACAAGACUCAGAAUAUCGAACUCUGUAAAGAAACCAGAAAUUAGGGUUUGUGGUCGAAAUCAGUUUGUUGUUUAACUGUAAUUUUCGUGUUUAACAGGUAGAGGAUUGAUUGGAUCUGAAAUUGAAGAGGAAACUGAAUCAAGAUUCGGUGAUUUGGCGAUCUGGGAUCAGACCUUGUUUCAAAUCUAAAGUCUUGUUUCAAAUUGAAUAAGAUUUUGUGGUGAGAGAACUAGCGUAUUCCGGACCGGAUGAUCUAUUGCACAUUGAGAAAAAGGUGGAAGUGCUGGAACCUUUGAUGGCUAGUCUUGAAAGAUAGUGGAUCAUACAUACCUCAAAGUGCUUUUCAUACUGAGAUGAGAUGUUAGACCUGAGCACAUGCCUGAUGCUGACGUGAGUGCAACAGAUUCAGUGGUCGAAAGCUACAAAUUUAACAUUUCCGAUAAUAUUUCAGUGCAACAGAUUCUCGUCUCUGAACUUUUCUUAGCUUAUAACUUUUAUUAUUGGUUUUCCUAGAAAAGAACCAACUUUUUAAGGCAAAUCGAAUAAUUGUGAAUAUUUAUGUGGAUAUCACCAAAGGGAUUUCAUUGA